rnacentral:rRNA from 1 species
GGGUUAGUAGGUUGGUCAUGCCCCUGGUAUGUACUGAUCUCACUGAUUCCUCCUUCCUGAUGAGCCGUAAUGCCAUUAAUUUGGUGUUGCGGGGAAUUUGGACUGUUACUUUGAAAAAAUUAGAGUGUUUAAAGCAAGCUAACGCUUGAAUACAUUAGCAUGGAAUAAUGAAAUAGGACGUUCGAUCCUAUUUUGCUGGUUUCUGAGAUCGCCGUA